rnacentral:rRNA from 1 species
AGCGUAGGCGGCGCGGUAAGUCGGGUGUGAAAUCUCGGAGCUUAACUCCGAAACUGCAUUCGAUACUGCCGUGCUUGAGGACUGGAGAGGAGACUGGAAUUUACGGUGUAGCGGUGAAAUGCGUAGAUAUCGUAAGGAAGACCAGUGGCGAAGGCGGGUCUCUGGACAGUUCCUGACGCUGAGGCACGAAGGGUCAGGGAGGCAAACG